UACGUAGGGGGCAAGCGUUGUCCGGAAUCAUUGGGCGUAAAGAGCGUGUAGGCGGCCUGGUAAGUCCGCUGUGAAAGUCCAGGGCUCAACCCUGGAAUGCCGGUGGAAACUGUCAGGCUCGAGUCCGGAAGAGGCGAGUGGAAUUCCUGGUGUAGCGGUGAAAUGCGCAGAUAUCAGGAGGAACACCAAUGGCGAAGGCAGCUCGCUGGGACGGUACUGACGCUGGAGACGCGAAAGCGUGGGGAGCAAACAGG
rnacentral:rRNA from 1 species